ensembl:lncRNA
GUUUUAAAUAACUGAGCCGUGAAGUCGAGCGUGUACCUAAAUUAAGAGCGCCAGCUUCAACAAAAUGCAUCUUGAGUCCGGAUGUUUGUCUUUUAACUCAGUGUUCACACGCUGGUUUUUUUCUGCUGCCUCUUCUUUCCAUGCAGAGGUUAUUUUUGAAGACACAUUUCUGUGCCAAAUGAAGAUAUUGUAUUUGGAAGAAAGGAGUUAGAGAAUCAAUGACACUGGGACUCAUCUCACCUUAUGCUGUCUGAACUCUUAAUACACCCUGACCGUCAAGUAAUAAGCAAAUGGAAUGCUAAACCGGUAACAUGGAGGGAUUUGCUGGCUUUCCCUAAGAUCAAAAAGAUGGACUUUUCAUCUGGCCAAUGGCUUCAUCGUAAGGAAAAACAGAGCAAAACCAAAAAAUAAAACUGAAAAAAAAGAAAGCAAAAAAAAAAAAAAAAGAAAAAAAAAGCUGUUAUUUCACCAGCUUGGGUUCGGUAAGUGCCUGUUGUGUAUCACAGCAGAGAGAGGAAAAAGGUCAGAGUUUAAAUUUAGCUCGCUGCCUUGCAGGGUCCCAGCUUGAGCCCAGCACACAGGGCUCGAUUCUUCCUUCCCUCGCGUGCCCCACAACCCCGCCGCCGCGCUUCACGCUCACCGCAUCCCGGCAAGGGUCCCGGGCCCACAUCAACA